GAACGUAUUACCUCCUCCUUUUUGGAAGUCGGUUAAAAAUGUUAACAUCGCUGUGUCUAAAUUAGACAAGUUCUCCACUUUAGUGUAGUAAUUGGUGAUACAAAAUUUGCAUUUAAUAUUGAAAUACUUUUUAGUUUAUAAAAUAUUAUAAUUUAAUUUAUUGUGUUAUU